CCUACGGGAGGCAGCAGUGGGGAAUAUUGGACAAUGGGGGGAACCCUGAUCCAGCCAUGCCGCGUGUGUGAAGAAGGCCCUCGGGUUGUAAAGCACUUUCAGUGAGGAAGAACGCCUGGUGGUUAAUACCCAUCAGGAAAGACAUCACUCACAGAAGAAGCACCGGCUAACUCCGUGCCAGCAGCCGCGGUAAUACGGAGGGUGCGAGCGUUAAUCGGAAUUACUGGGCGUAAAGCGCGCGUAGGUGGCUUGAUAAGCCGGUUGUGAAAGCCCCGGGCUCAACCUGGGAACGGCAUCCGGAACUGUCAAGAGCGCGUGCAGGAGAGGAAGGUAGAAUUCCCGGUGUAGCGGUGAAAUGCGUAGAGAUCGGGAGGAAUACCAGUGGCGAAGGCGGCCUUCUGGACUGACACUGACACUGAGGUGCGAAAGCGUGGGUAGCAAACAGGAUUAGAUACCCUGGUAGUC
rnacentral:rRNA from 1 species